rnacentral:rRNA from 1 species
GAUGAACGCUGGCGGCGUGCCUAAUACAUGCAAGUCGAGCGAACGGACGAGAUGCUUGCUUCUCUGAUGUUAGCGGCGGACGGGUGAGUAACACGUGGAUAACCUACCUAUAAGACUGGGAUAACUUCGGGAAACCGGAGCUAAUACCGGAUGAUAUUUUGAACCGCAUGGUUCAACAGUGAAAGACGGUCUUGCUGUCACUUAUAGAUGGAUCCGCGCUGCAUUAGCUAGUUGGUAAGGUAACGGCUUACCAAGGCAACGAUGCAUAGCCGACCUGAGAGGGUGAUCGGCCACACUGGAACUGAGACACGGUCCAGACUCCUACGGGAGGCAGCAGUAGGGAAUCUUCCGCAAUGGGCGAAAGCCUGACGGAGCAACGCCGCGUGAGUGAUGAAGGUCUUCGGAUCGUAAAACUCUGUUAUUAGGGAAGAACAGAUGUGUAAGUAACUGUGCACAUCUUGACGGUACCUAAUCAGAAAGCCACGGCUAACUACGUG